UGGCUUCCUCGUCCUCCCUUGGCUGCGAUAGCCAAUCCCCAGGAAUGUGUUUCGCCUCCAGAUGUCCCCCAGCUGCCCCCUCGCUCCAGCCCUACAGCCUCCUGUCUUGCCGGAGCUGGUCCCCCAACCUUCCCACCCCACCUCAGCCCUGCCUCUCUCUUCCCACCGGCUGCAGGAGGCCCUUCCUGGAAAGAACUAACUGAGGUUUCCAGCUCUCCAGCUCUCCGGAGAACCAGUCCAGCUUGCUGUCACCCAAGCCUGACUCUGCCCUUGUCCCUCUCCUGUUCCAGCUCAAGUCCGUGUUUGCAGUUUGCUGAUGCCCCGUGAGGCCCACACCCUGUCUGCUCGGCCAACCCCUGUUUCUCCUGAAAGACUAUGCACCAUCCCCUGGAAAGGCGUUCUAGGAUUGAAAGGUGUUGUCUGCCCGGCACACAGUAAGGAACUUGUCUCUUGGAUUGGAGAAUGAAUUGCCUGGGGCCCAGCAUGCCACCUGAUGGAGAGCGCCCGCCAUGAUGAACAGGAAGACACAGAGCAGAGAAGUUUGCCCUUUGGAGACAGGCAUCCAGAGGCUGGUGCAAGGUCACCCAGGUCCUGUCCAGUCCCAGAGCGCUCCAUCCUUGCCACACAAGGAGCAAACAACACCCUUCACUUUUUGAUGUGAUUACUGAACUCUUGUCUCAAAGGUUAAUGCAGUUUGCAAACAUA